GAGAUUAGUUGACUUGAGAGAGUCAGUUCCUGCUGAAUUUGUGUUUGUUCUGAUUAUGGUCCUAAAAUCUGGUCUGAAAAUGCAGGCAGGAAUGCAAAUAAAAUGACAGUGAAUUAACGUCCAUCAAGCAGACGAAGACAACAGACCAGUUGAUGAUGGAGCCACAAGAUAAAGCCAGAACUUGGGUCUCUGGAUGACCCCAUGGAGUACAGCUCCCUACCCAUCUUAAAAUAAGAAUAAGAAGUUGGCAACUUUAUACCACUUCCUGGAUUUUUGGUGGAUUUCUUCCUGGUGUAUGCGAGUUUAGCCUAGGAUUCACUUCCAUAAAAGGAUCGCGGAUGUUUAUAUGGUUCCUUGCUUUCCUGCUCGGCUUCCCAGCCCCCCGCGUCUUCAGCAGUCACUGCACCGCAUGGAAGAACUCCCUCCCCGCGGCGUUACAGGCCCCUGAUGAAGAAGGCCUUGCCCCCCUCUGUUGGUCAGAUGCACUGAUUGAUAUACUAAUCACCAGCAUUAAUGUCAGAACUCUCAUUUGACGCAGUGUGUGUGUUCAUCAAGUCCCUCUGUGGGGACCGCGGCGCACAUUUAUUCCUUCAGGGAACAGGCACUCGCUGCUUCUUUACAACAGAGGUUUUUCUUUUUCCUUCAUGGUCACCGAGAGGCCCCACACCAAGCAUGGACACGUCCAUUCCCACCUCCCUGUGAGGCCGGGGAAUUCCUGGCCUCCAGACCCUGCCAAAGAAGCUGAAGUGUGACCUUCGACCCUCCUCCUCGAUCAGGAGACUCAGAACAGCUGCCAUUUGCCCCUGCUGCUGGCCCGUGGGCCCGCGCAGCCCACAGUGGCCGUGCCUUCCAAUUUCGGACUCCUGUGAUGGGCUUGCUGAAAAGGUAUCACCUUCGGCGUAUGCUGCAAAACAUUCACUCGAUCCUCCCUUGAAGCUGGCAAGAGGCAGGCUGGGAAAAUGCCAUGGAAAGAAGCAGCAGACCCUGCCAGAGUCUCCAGUUUCCCAAGUCAAAGAGGGAUCUGGUUGGUGCCCCAGAGCUGACUGCCCACCGAACAGCCCGCAGAGACGGGUCUGCGUGAGAGGCGUGUCCACGCGGAACUUGAGGGAGCUCCAGGGUAUGAACAGCACCGCCCGCCCCACAAGAGCUUGAGCAAUCCCUUUUAGGGAAAUUACAUGCCAGGGGCUGUAGAAGCGAGCAAGCCUAUUAAGUUACUCUGCAUUUUCUGGGCCGAGGAGAGACUAUUUUCCACCAUUUAGAGGAAACUUGGUUCAUGAUAUUCAUUUGGAAAAUUCUGUCAAUCUUCAUAUGUUGAUAGCCUACCAAUCCUUUGGUUUGGCUAGAAGGGCAUUCUUCCUGCCGAACACACCGCCUGCACGCGGUUCUCAUACUGUAAAUUUCUGCAGGGUGGGGACUGGCCAAAAUCUUGGUUUCCACACGGCACCAACACAAUGUUUUUGCGCAUGGUAGGUGGCCAAAUUAAAUUCAGGUUUCUGUGUCUGGAUAGUCCUACCAGGAAUUUGUGAAACUUAGGUGAAAGAAUGUUUUGAUGUAGAUUACGAUUACUACCCAUUUAUUUCUAAUUAGAAGCAUCUUUUUUUUGCCUGUAACAAUGAUAGCAUGACUCGUUUAUCUUAAUAAGUAACAACGUUUUGACAGCUCUGAGAAUUAGACAUCAUUAUCAAAACUUCUCAAAUGUUUGUGCUUUGUCUAAAAACUGGAGAAAAAUGUGCAAUUAAAAUUUGAUCAGAUGAAUAUUUCUUUCACAAAAGAAUGUCGAACUCUUAAAAAGAGUUAAGAGAAUAUUGUCUUAAAUAUUAAAUUCCGUUCUCUUCCUCUUGGAUUUAAUUUUUACAUAUGGGGCACACUCACAGUGGGACCUGCUGGAUGAUGCUGAAAAGGAUGGGUAGUGAUGCGGGUUUGCUUUUUCUUGAUGCCUCGUUGUUUUCCCCUAAAUGGCAGGGAUUUUUAUUCAGCCAAGGAACACAUUCCUCUCAAGUUCCCUGCAUUAGCUCCAGAAUAUAUUUUGCCAGGUGACAAGUCUAGCAUUUGAAAUGUUUUACCUAGAAAAGCAGACCUUAUAAUGUCUGGCUUUGAUGCUUGGCAUGUGAAUGUGUCGGUAUGUUAGUCUAAUAAUCAUGUUUGCUUAUGCAAAUAUUAAGUUUCUCUGUUAAAAGUUUAGACACCCCAACACACCCACCCCCUUCCACCAGACCUAGUCUACUUAGCUCACAAUUUCCUGGGAAAUAUUGCAUUUCUGCGAGGAACAGGGAUCUCACUGAGCUUCAGCUGACACUCAAUACCACGUUUAAAUUGCCUUUGACAAGCAAAGUUCCACCUGCUCCGAGACAAGAGUCCUGACCUGAACUGGUGUCUCUGGAAUUUGGAUCCAGAGCUACUGUUGGGGUGCUAAAUUUAUUCCCCACGGGCUGAUAAAGUAGCCUGGGUUGUGCAUGCAAGGGAGAGCCAGGCUUGAUCUGUGUACCUACUAGAUUAGAAGAGAAGGUAUUUUGUCCUGGA